rnacentral:rRNA from 1 species
UGCGUAGGUGGUCUCUUAAGUCAGAGGUGAAAGGCUACGGCUCAACCGUAGUAAGCCUUUGAAACUGGGAAACUUGAGUGCAGGAGAGGAGAGUGGAAUUCCUAGUGUAGCGGUGAAAUGCGUAGAUAUUAGGAGGAACACCAGUUGCGAAGGCGGCUCUCUGGACUGUAACUGACACUGAGGCACGAAAGCGUGGGGAAGCAAACA